rnacentral:tRNA from 1 species
GGGGUUGUGGCUCAGUGGUAAAGCACUUGCCUACCAUGCAUGAGGCACUAGGUUCGAUCCUUAGCACCACA